CAAGCCAGGAAGGAGGAGGCAGCCAGAGUGUUCUCUGCAGCAGAAGACCCCUUGCUGCCCUGCUUAACCCAGACCAGCAUUUGCCAGGAAUGAAUGUGAAGCAUAAAUGAUACCUGCAUUUUAGCAGAAAAAUGGGCAGCAAGUCUAACAUAUAUAUCUUGUUUCAAUGAUCACAAGCAUAUUGCAGACAGAAGAAUUAUCCACUUGUUUCACAAAAAGCCUGAGGAAAGCCAGAAAAGUUCAAGUGCUCUUCUGUGGAAAAAGCAUCCCUUCAUAC